rnacentral:sRNA from 1 species
UAUGAUCACAGCUAUGCAGUUCUUACCAUAAAUGUAAACGGAGGCUAGAAAAGAGCACGAAGAAGGGAAAACAGCUAAUGUGUUAGGGUUGUGGAUAGUAGCUUAGUUUUUCUUUCAGAAAUUCUUUUAUUGUUGUUAAAGAUUAUGCCAGCGUAUCCAAACAUACACACUCAAAGACCUUGCGAGAGGACGUUACUAUCAUGGUAUAUGGGACAUUUGGAACAUGGGUAAGCUCUUUCUGAAAAUAGAGUAAUCAAAACCCAGAAAGCACCGGAAACCUUGAGGGUAUGAUCACUUACGUAGAGAAGAAAUUGAAACAAGACUUUCAUUCUUGAACCGUUCCCCUACAAAAUACGAUACUUUGAUGCUUCUUUAGAUCUUUGCUGUUACCUCUCAACGUUCUUAAAUCACUUUGUUUCCAGGUUCAAUUUCAGAAGCUUCAGCAACUGCGCCUUACACAGUACCAUGGAGGAUCCUUACCAAAUGUGAGCCAGCUGCGGAGCAGUGCGUCAGAGUUUCAGCCGUCAUUUCACCAAGCUGAUAAUGUUCGGGGAACCCGCCAUCACGGGCUGGUGGAGAGGCCAUCCAGGAACCGCUUCCACCCCCUCCACCGAAGGUCUGGGGACAAGCCGGGGCGACAAAUAUCCUUUUUUACUCUUCAAAGGGAGUGUGCAUUCUGAAAUGUUUGAAAAGUUUUCAGGAUUUAUCUUCCCUGCAAUUCUCCUUUGGCCUCAAAAUCUUCAUUUAUCUGAUGAAAGGAGGCAAUACAAAUAAAUGAGUUGGAAACUAGAAACAUCUCUGCAGUCAACAUUUGGAAACAUCAUUGUAGGUGUUUAUGAAAGCAUCAGUAAAGUUCAGUUUAAUGAAAUAACAACAAAAACAACCUGUAAUUCGGUCCCAUUGCAGGGUGUUCUGAGCAUUUUCUCCAGAAAUUGGCCAAGUUAGAGUUAAACCUGACUUUGAAUCAGGUUAGAGAGACUUAGUCUCUCUAGCAAAAAUGGACAUAGAGAUAUGUGAUUUAUUGGUACUUCUUUUGAUCUGCUGACCUGCUUUUGGAACUUACAGACAAAAUUUCAUAUGAUUUUCUAUUUGUGAUGUUUCAAACUCAGUAAGUGAUAACUAAAAUAAACCUAGAAUAUAGGAAAAUCUCAUGCAGUGAUGUACAGUCACACCAAACUCUGCUGUUAAGUAGAAAUAAAGGAAAGGAAAUGGUGAAUUCACCUGACAGUUUCAUUUAAUCAGUCCUGUUUACGGGGCGGCAGUGGUGGGUGCAGCUGUGUGACCAGCAUUGUGCCGAAGGCUUUGGGGAACAGAACUGAGCUGGAUUUUUUGGGAGAGGACACAGAAGUGUGCCAGGAGGGCCCGUGCUCUCACUUCAUUCUUCUCAGUACUCGGGCUCGGGUGGAGGAAGGAGAAGAAAGGCGGGGUGGGUCUCGCUGCGGAGAGCUGAAUUCCUGGCAGUGAUGGUAGAGUUGGCUUCACAAGCCUAGAAACCAGGAAGUGGGGGCAGGGCACUCAUGUUUACUGAGCACCUACCCAUGCCAGGCGCUGUGCUGGGUAAUUUAUGUGUCAUUUAGUCCUCAAAAACUCACUGAGUCGUUAAUUUUUUUAACCCUCAUUUUCUGAUGAGGAAACUGAGUGUGUGGUGAAGUAACCCAGGAUUCAGACCAGGCCCAGCUGAUGGCCCAGCCUGUGCUCUCCCCUCCCUAUGCCACCUGCGACCACUCGCAGUGAUGAGGACCUUGUACAAGGGAGCCAGGAGUUGUGGGGGCACUCUAGGGAAACCCCAACUUUUCUUGCCUUCAAGCUUCUUGCAGUUUUUAGUCUAUUUGGAGGCAAGGAUAAUGACCCCAGGGAAUGUUUUUCUCUCCCCUUUCUGCCGCCCCCAGGAACACACCACAUUUGGUCCACAGAAGGACUGACUUCUGAUUUUGUAUAUUACGUGGCUGUUAUCAAGGAAAGUAAAGAUGAUAAAUGAUCUUGAGAAUCUAUUCUGGAAUGUGUGAUAACUUUGACAUUGAAUGAAAAAGGCAAAAGGAAAUGGAGGCAAUUCAUCAGCAAAUUUGUACAUGUCAGGAUGGAGUGGUACAUCAAACCAUUGUCCAAAUUGCCAAGAAUAUUCAGGCAAAAGACUUGGAGUGUUUCUUUGAUUGAUUUAACAAUGUAUUUUUUUUUGGCUGGGCAUGGUGGCUCACGCCUGUAAUCCCAGCACUUUGGGAGGCCGAGGUGGGCAGAUCACGAGGUCAGGAGAUUGAGACCAUCCUGGCUAACGUGGUGAAACUCCGUCUCUACUAAAAUUACAAAAAAUUAGCCAGGCUUGGUGGUGGGCACCUAUAGUCCCAGGCUGAGGCAGGAGAAUGGUGUGAACCCGGGAGGUGGAGCUUGCGGUGAACCGAGAUCGCGCCACUGCACUCCAGCCUGGGCAACAGAGCAAGACUCCGUCUCAAAAAAAAAAAAAAAAAAAA